rnacentral:rRNA from 1 species
UACGUAGGGGGCAAGCGUUAUCCGGAUUCACUGGGUGUAAAGGGAGCGUAGACGGGAGAGCAAGUCGACUGUGAAAUCUAUGGGCUUAACCCAUAGCUGCGAUCGAAACUGUUCAUCUUGAGUGAAGUAGAGGCAGGCGGAAUUCCUAGUGUAGCGGUGAAAUGCGUAAAUAUAUGGAGGAACACCGGUGGCGAAAGCGGCUCUCUGGCCUGUAACUGACACUGAGGCUCGAAAGCGUGGGGAGCAAACAGG